UUUUUUGCAUUAAAUGAAUUAUUUUGCAGAGGUAUCUUUUAAUUAAAAACUACAGUGAUUUAAUUUAAAAAUUACAUUAUUUUAGCUUAGCAUUAUUUGUAUUAAAUGGUUUAUAACAUGAAAUACAGUCCUUCAAGUCUUCUGUUUCAUCUCUCGCUCUGACCCCAAUUUCAUUUUUUUCUCCAUUUCUUUAGAAAGGUGCAAAAUUCCUUAGUGAUGCUGAGAUCAUCCAGUUAGUCAUUGCUAAGCAUAUCCCAGCCUACAAGUUGGAAACUCUGAUGGAAACUCAUGAGCGUGGUGUAUCUAUUCGCCGACAGUUACUUUCCAAAAAGCUUUCAGAACCUUCUUCUCUCCAGUACCUACCUUACAGGGAUUAUAACUACUCCUUGGUGAUGGGAGCUUGUUGUGAGAAUGUUAUUGGAUAUAUGCCCAUCCCUGUUGGAGUGGCAGGACCCCUUUGCUUGGAUGGAAAAGAAUUUCAGGUUCCAAUGGCAACAACA
rnacentral:sRNA from 1 species